rnacentral:rRNA from 1 species
AUUGAACGCUGGCGGCAGGCCUAACACAUGCAAGUCGAGCGGAUGAAGGGAGCUUGCUCUCUGAUUCAGCGGCGGACGGGUGAGUAAUGCCUAGGAAUCUGCCCGGUAAUGGGGGAUAACGUUCCGAAAGGAACGCUAAUACCGCAUACGUCCUACGGGAGAAAGCGGGGGAUCUUAGGACCUCGCGUUAUCGGAUGAGCCUAGGUCGGAUUAGCUAGUUGGUGGGGUAAAGGCCUACCAAGGCGACGAUCCGUAACUGGUCUGAGAGGAUGAUCAGUCACACUGGAACUGAGACACGGUCCAGACUCCUACGGGAGGCAGCAGUGGGGAAUAUUGGACAAUGGGCGAAAGCCUGAUCCAGCCAUGCCGCGUGUGUGAAGAAGGUCUUCGGAUUGUAAAGCACUUUAAGUUGGGAGGAAGGGCAGUAAGUUAAUACCUUGCUGUUUUGACGUUACCAACAGAAUAAGCACCGGCUAACUUCGUGCCAGCCGCCGCAGUAAGAC